AUUAAUAAUACAGUGUUUCAAGUAGCCUUCUUUUUUGCAGAAACUUUCUUUUUGAACUAACGGAAGUGGAAGUAAACAGUAUAAGACUCAUCCCUGAAGCUAUGCAAUGGCGAUAGAACAAAAUUCCUGGUCUCCCCCUUUGCAACAAAGCUGAUGUCAUGGUACUUGCUAAGCCCUUGAUUCGGGGAAAAGCUUGCUCCUUUAUCGAAUUCCUGACUCGAAUUCCCACAGCUGAGCUUCAGGAUUGCUCCUGAACCAUAACCAACACCACUGAACACAAAGCAGCCCUUCUGGCUAACCGACUCGAACGACACGCUCCCUUCCUUCCCAUCCAAUCCUGACACCAC
rnacentral:lncRNA from 1 species